AUUUACUUUAAAAAUAAAAAAAAAAAAAAAGGAAGAAGAAGAAAUGAAAGUUUCUCGGUCUUUCAUAAGGUUAAACGCACACGUAUUUUUAACUAACUAACUUUUACUAUCGAUUUACAUCCUUGGACAACGAUACAACAGGCCUAUUGUUUGAACAUUUCUUACAUAUCAAUUGCAAUCGAACUAUUUUGAAACGGAAAACCAUUCACACGACUUUUUCCUACAAAUCUAUAUUGUCUCCUUUUUUUAAAGUUAAAAUAUUUUAUCUUUUUAUUUUUCAACAUUUCUCACGCAUCUCUUUUAAAUAAAUUUAGAAAGAUUUAUAAUCUAUAUAGUCUAGUUUAUGUUUUCCUAACGAGGAUAUCGCAAAAAAUAAAUUACGAAAACUUGUUUUCACGUGUAUAUUUCCAUACAUUAGAUAAGAUAUUCUAACUAAAAGGGGACAUCACAGUCAACUCGUGGUAUAAAUAGAAUAGAGUUACAUCAUUUCUUGUUAUAUUCAUUAUUUACUUACUAUACAACAAUUAUUAUCGACCGGUAACUUUAAAUAUUCCCUAAACAAUCGAAGAAAGUUUAUUAUACAUCAAUAUUGACUAUUCACACAUUUUUUUCAGAGAAACAUUUACUUACGUUAUAAGCGAAUGUGGUUAUUUCCAGUACCGCUUUCUUUCCGCGGUUCCGAGCAUCAGAAAUCAUAGGUUAGGGUUCCACUAUAGAGAAUUGGAAAGCAGAAGAGUCAUAUAAAUGCAGAAUAGUCAAUAAACGUCUCAUUCCUCGAGAAGGCUGCGUCGAUCGAACGAUUCGAUUCUUUCGAAACGCGGAUAGCUAGAUGUGUAAUUAUCGAUUGUAAUUUACACGGAUUUCCAGAGGAAAUCGAAACUCGAAACACAUGAAAGUAUUAUAGAUCGAGCGUCGAAUACGUGUAUUCAAUGGUGUCUCGUUUGCAUAUCUUUUAUUUUGCCACCAUAUUUUAUUUCUUUCGAUAUUAUUAAUUCGUUUUGUUGAAAAAUACAUCAUAUACGAUUUUGUCAUAUAAACAAAAAGUAGUUGAUUUGAAAUGUCGUUUUUAUCUUAUCAUUUAUUUUCCUUUUCUUUUUUUUUUUUUUUUUUUUUUUCUUUUCCACCGAGAUGGAGAUAAAGUAUUCAUUUGAAUUUGCCGCCAUUUUAAAUGUAUCCCACUUUACCUUACAUUGCAUACACAUACCAAAUAUAAUACGAGAAACAUUCUUUCGAUUAUUGAUAUACAAUUAUAUUAUCUUUAAAACGUUUUUAUAAAACUGUACAAUUAACGACAACUAAAAUGGCGGGAUAUUCAAAAUCGAUCAUUCGUAUAUCGUCCAUCCUAUAUCAAUUUAAUUUUGUCUCUACUUAUUAAUUUAAUUUGUUCCAUUAACGUAGCGAUCUAGCGAUUCAACGUCAUCGAUUCUUUGCUGCGAAAAUUUGAAUUGAUCAUUAAAGGCAAGCCUUCGAAAUGAUCUCGCAACAGCCGCGGCCGUUAUAUUGUUUUUUCGAGGAUUCUAUCCGUAACCUUGUGCUCGUUGCGAACUCGUCGAGCGAUUCAGCAGCGAGAAAGUACUAUUAUUAUGAACGAGGUAAAAAUCUCGACGACACGAUCGUCCACGAUGUUGAUCGAGUCAAUCUGAAACAUAAUACAGUACCUGCCUAUACACUUGUCUUUUCUGAGAGAUACUGUCGUUCAAGAUUCUACGAGUUCUUUUGUACCUCGCGUAACGAAACGAAACACGAAACAAUAUAAUAUUUCACGUUGAAGAUAGAUCGAUCCCUCCCGCCAUUGCCAAAUCUCUUUUUUCCUGUUCGCUCUCUUUUUCUACUUGUUCACUUACGAAUAAUAUCGCGAUACACAAUCCUUUUACCUGAUCGCGUGGAAACGUGUUAUUCGCCUAACGAAAAAACUACAUUCCAUAUCGAGACAGAUGAUUAAAUGCUUUUUCUAUUUUCUUUUUUAUUUUUUAUUUUUUUUUUAUAAACGUGGAAGAAAUGCUGCAUUUUACGUAAUCACGCGGUAAUUUAAAAAUAAAAGGUAUGAAUAAAAAGUACAGAUUAUAGUUGUUUACCAGUACUUACGUACUCAUUUCGGGAAGUUAAAUGAAAAGAAAUAAUAAUGGAAAUUGUUGCGGUUGAUUUGAAACAAUUUAAAGGAAUAAGAGAAAUGCUUUCAAAUGAUAGGCUGGAUGUUGAAUUAAUCAUUUCUCGAAUCUAUAAUUUCCCUCGGUUCUAUAAUAUUAAAACUUUUAAUACCAAAGUUGCGCAACACGAAAUGGAAACACGAUUUCUCGCGAACGGUGACGCGAAUAACUUGUCGACGCGAAUUACAUAAUUUUCACUACACCAACACUGGAUCGUUUCCACUCAGCAACACCUGAUCAACGCUGCACACUGAUUUUCAUUUACGAUUAAUCCAUUCCUUGUCCAAGCUUGCGUAUAUUAUAUUAUAUGUGUGUGCGUGGAGAGGGGCGAAUCGUAGAAAUCGAAGAAAAUUGAAGAAAUAACAAAAAAAAAAUAUAUAUAUAUAUAUAUAAGAAAGAAAAAAAAAUAAAAAAAAAAAACAAAAAAAUAGAAGAAAAAGAGUAAGAUAUGUGUGCAUAGUAUUUUUCUGGGCCACGAAUUUUUCAUUAAUGUCGUCGGACCCUUGUAUGACAAAAA